GGUUCAAUGGCGUAGUGGUUAUCGCAUCUGUCUUACACGUCUCAAAAUAGUUCUACUCUGCACAGAAGGUCUCCGGUUCGAUCCCGGGUUGAAUCA
rnacentral:tRNA from 1 species